CUAGCCCCCCGCCUAGGCCCAUUUUUUAGAGUCUAAAGCACAAGAUUCUGGGGAUAGACUCGAAACGGUUGCCUCUCAGGCUCAAAAGAUGGCUGACAUUGUUACAGAACAAUGGAUUCAAAUUCAGCGCCUUGAGCAGGCUCUUCAUAUUACACAAAACCAAAGGCUCCUCUUGGUUAACAGAAUUCAAAGGAAUAUGGUUCCAGUGACCAUCUAGUAGAUGCAACUUUGCCUGCUACUGAAGUCAAAUCAUCAGAACUGAGUAUAAGGAAUGGGGAGGCUUCAUCCUUGAUGCAGCCACACCCGGAGAAUUCAUUGGUGGGUUAAAGACUACCAUGUAAUGCCAGGAACCAAGGCAAACAAAAAAAAAAAAGAAACUCAGAGAGAAUGAGAGGGGACAUUGACUCUUUCCAACUAACAGGAACAAGACAUUUUCAUUAAAGACUACCAAUAGAUUGAUAGUGUUCUUAUGGUCAACAAGGACAAGAAUUCCAGGGCUGCUCACCUUGAGUACACCUGAUGAACCAGUGAGGGGUGUGUUUCUUUUAGUCUGCCCUAUAUAUGGAGAGUCUGACUCUGAUUAGAAGAAAAUUGUAUUAAUUUGAUAAAGUUUUCUGUAA